AUAAUGAUAAGGUUAUUUAAUUCUUUAAAAUAUGUGUAAAAGGGUUGUGGCUUAAUAACCAUUCUGUCCAAUCUAGCCAUGAAUUAUAAAAAUGGUUAACUUUUUUUCUUUGUUUAUUACUAUAUGUGUUAAGGUGUACUAUGUCCGUUGCUGCUGCCCAAGAGUAGUGGGAGUUUGAGUGCAGGACUUGUUUUUGAGUAUUUGCCUUUACUUUUGUAUCACACAGCUAUGUUAUAAUGCUGCUGCCACCCACCCCAUGUAUUCCCAAUUAAGGGUUAAUAAGCAUGAAAGGGUAAAAUACCCCUCUGUCUCAUUAGAGAUAUCUUUGACAGAAGCUCAAGGAAGCAAGGUGAAUAGUCAGUAUAGGACCCACCUAAGAGGUUUUCCUUUAUGCCACAGGUGGACAUUGGAGUAACUAAAUAACUUCCGUUUGUGUAAAUAUGCAAAGGAAUUUGGGAAGAGCGCAGGUAACCUUUUUCCUUUGGUUUUUAUUGUAUGUAUUGACGUUGAUGUGUGCUAUGGUCGUUGCUGCCACCCAAGAGUAGUGGGAGUUUGAGUUACUUGGGGGUAAAAUAUAAUCUAUGUAAAGUAUGUUACUGUAUAUGUUUAAAUGAAUACAUUCAGAAAGAGGCCCUUCUUAAUACACAUGGGAGUCUGGCCUGCAAUUCCGGGUCAAAGGUUAUAAUAACAGUGGGCCUUCAUCACGCUAUCUGAACAAGAACCAUGUGUGUUAUCCAUUGAUAUACAAUGGACAUAUGUCCGAUAAUUAAUACUAGAUGUCUAGGCGGGGCUACCAGUUCGCGUGU